AGUGAACGCUGGCGGUAGGCUUAACACAUGCAAGUCGAACGGCAGCACAGUAAGAGCUUGCUCUUACGGGUAGCGAGUGGCGGACGGGUGAGGAAUACAUCGGAAUCUACUUUUUCGUGGGGGAUAACGUAGGGAAACUUACGCUAAUACCGCAUACGACCUACGGGUGAAAGCAGGGGAUCUUCGGACCUUGCGCGAUUGAAUGAGCCGAUGUCGGAUUAGCUAGUUGGCGGGGUAAAGGCCCACCAAGGCGACGAUCCGUAGCUGGUCUGAGAGGAUGAUCAGCCACACUGGAACUGAGACACGGUCCAGACUCCUACGGGAGGCAGCAGUGGGGAAUAUUGGACAAUGGGCGCAAGCCUGAUCCAGCCAUACCGCGUGGGUGAAGAAGGCCUUCGGGUUGUAAAGCCCUUUUGUUGGGAAAGAAAAGCAGCAGGUUAAUACCCCGCUGUUCUGACGGUACCCAAAGAAUAAGCACCGGCUAACUUCGUG
rnacentral:rRNA from 1 species